UACGGAGGGUGCAAACGUUGCUCGGAAUCAUUGGGCGUAAAGCGCACGUAGGCGGUUCGUUAAGUCGGAUGUGAAAGCCCCGGGCUCAACCCGGGAAGUGCAUACGAAACUGGCGGACUUGAAUAUGGAAGAGGGUCGCGGAAUUCCCGGUGUAGAGGUGAAAUUCGUAGAUAUCGGGAGGAACACCAGUGGCGAAGGCGGCGACCUGGGCCAAUAUUGGACGCUGAGGUGCGAAAGCGUGGGGAGCAAACAGGAUUAGAUGACCCAGU
rnacentral:rRNA from 1 species